rnacentral:rRNA from 1 species
ACGGGAGGCAGCAGUGGGGAAUAUUGCACAAUGGGGGGAACCCUGAUGCAGCCAUGCCGCGUGAAUGAAGAAGGCCUUCGGGUUGUAAAGUUCUUUCGGUAGCGAGGAAGGUGGUUGUUUUAAUAGAACAAUCAAUUGACGUUAACUACAGAAGAAGCACCGGCUAACUCCGUGCCAGCAGCCGCGGUAAUACGGAGGGUGCGAGCGUUAAUCGGAAUAACUGGGCGUAAAGGGCACGCAGGCGGUUGAUUAAGUGAGAUGUGAAAGCCCCGGGCUUAACCUGGGAAUUGCAUUUCAUACUGGUCAACUAGAGUACUUUAGGGAGGGGUAGAAUUCCACGUGUAGCGGUGAAAUGCGUAGAGAUGUGGAGGAAUACCGAAGGCGAAGGCAGCCCCUUGGGAAUGUACUGACGCUCAUGUGCGAAAGCGUGGGGAGCAAACAGGAUUAGAUACCCUGGUA